rnacentral:rRNA from 1 species
AUGUUGCUUCUCCCUGCCGCCUCCUCUCCUCACCACGGCUCGCCCUCGGCAUCCUCUCCCCACCACGGCUCGCCCCGCAGCCUCCACCUCCGAUACGACCUCGCGCUGCCAGCAAUGCUUCCGGUCUCCCCUGUAUCGACACUGCCGCCGGUGUCCAACCUCAGCGACGACGCCAGCCUGCCCGACGCAGCUCCUGGCCGCGGCGGCCUAGAACGCCGAGGUAUAGAAGCCUGCUCCGGCUGCCAAGCUGCCGCCCAACCUGCUCUGGGGGUUCCAUAUGAUACAAGACUCAAAGGUCUAGAUGAUGACAGAGGAACCAAAGGUCUAACACAGGAUGCUUCAAAGUCUCAUUUUAAAAGGUCAACAGAGGCCAACACCGCCUUGCAGCAGCAGCUGGGCGAAGCUAAUACCGCCCUGUGCGGCAAGGAGGCGGAGUGCAGCAAGCUGGCCGAGGAGCGUGACCGGCUGGUCACUCAGCUCACGGAGUAG